rnacentral:rRNA from 1 species
AGAGUUUGAUCCUGGCUCAGGACGAACGCUGGCGGCGUGCUUAACACAUGCAAGUCGAACGCUGAAGGCUCAGCUUGCUGGGCUGGAUGAGUGGCGAACGGGUGAGUAACACGUGAGUAACCUGCCCUCUUCUUUGGGAUAACGGUCGGAAACGGCUGCUAAUACCGGGUAUUCACUGUCCUUCGCAUGGGGGGUGGUGGAAAGGUUUUUUCUGGUGGGGGAUGGGCUCGCGGCCUAUCAGCUUGUUGGUGGGGUGAUGGCUUACCAAGGCUUUGACGGGUAACCGGCCUGAGAGGGUGACCGGUCACAUUGGGACUGAGAUACGGCCCAGACUCCUACGGGAGGCAGCAGUGGGGAAUAUUGCACAAUGGGCGAAAGCCUGAUGCAGCGACGCCGCGUGAGGGAUGAAGGCCUUCGGGUUGUAAACCUCUUUCGCUCAUGGUCAAGCCGCAACUUUGGGUUGUGGUGAGGGUAGUGGGUAAAGAAGCACCGGCUAACUACGUGCCAGCAGCCGCGGUAAUACGUAGGGUGCGAGCGUUGUCCGGAAUUAUUGGGCGUAAAGGGCUUGUAGGCGGUUUGUCGCGUCUGCCGUGAAAUCCUCUGGCUUAACUGGGGGCGUGCGGUGGGUACGGGCAGGCUUGAGUGCGGUAGGGGAGACUGGAACUCCUGGUGUAGCGGUGGAAUGCGCAGAUAUCAGGAAGAACACCGGUGGCGAAGGCGGGUCUCUGGGCCGUUACUGACGCUGAGGAGCGAAAGCGUGGGGAGCGAACAGGAUUAGAUACCCUGGUAGUCCACGCUGUAAACGUUGGGCA